ACUACCUGCAUCGCCUUGUAGCGGCGAGUGAGCGGGCAAGAGCUCAAAUUUAGUAAAUCUGGCACCUUCGGUGUCCGAGUUGUAAUUUCAAGAAAGGUUUUCUGCGUUGGACCCUUGUAAUGUUGCUGGAAACAGGACGCCACAUGGGGAGACCCCCCCAUGCGGUGCGAAGCCCCAUUCCUUGGUGAGUGCUUUCCAAAAAUCCAAUUUGUUGGGAAUGGCACUCCAAAUGGGUGGGAAAUUUCCUCCAAAGCCAAAUAAUGGCCAAAAAACCAAUGCCAAAAAAUUCCCGGGAGGAAAAAAUAAAAAAAAUUUUGAAAAAAAAUUAAAAAGUACGUGAAAUUGUUGAAAGGGAAAGGCUUGAAAUCAGACUUGCUUGCUUGCGAUCCUUUUUGUCUUGGUUGGUUUCCUUUCCGCUUACUGUACCGGCAUCGAUUAGGAAGCAAUUUCAACUGCGUUAGAACUCUCUUCUGCUUCCAUCUUGUGGUAUUGACUAGCUUAAUGCUCCUUUUCCAGACCUAUCACCCCCUUCUUGACUAGGAUGCUGGUGUAAUGAUCUUAAACCACCCGUCUAAAAAGAAAAAACACAA
rnacentral:rRNA from 1 species